CUGCUCUGUCUUUCUUUCUGCUUUCUAAGCCGCAAGAUGACGUAAUUUGUGACGUACGGCAUUCCAUAAAAAAACUAGCUUUGGUUCCAUAAAGUAAAUUUAUAUCACUUAGUCAUCAACGUUCGUCUUUGAAACGGAGAUACAUUUUCAAGAUAAAAAUUUGAACGACGAAAAUUAUAGAAAUUAAGGUAUUUCCUGAUUCUUGGAUGAAUACGAAACUGAAUAGCCAGGUUCCAUUUGCACUUCCUGUUGCAGAAAAAAAAAAACCGAGUCAGCGAGAGCUCCCUUCUAUGGUUUAUUCCAGACUUUCCUUCUGGAUAAUUGUGAUCUAAUUCCUUAAAACAAUGGUUCUACGUAACGCAGCCAGGUGAAUCGAAUGGUCUUUUUAUGCUUAGUGACAUCUAUUUGAAGGUUUACUAAAUUUUGAGAAACGCUUGUCAGGACACAAGACUGAAAAAGACGUACUGAAAAACUGCCUGUAAACACAGCUAUCAUUAAAGUCAAUGGAUUACCUAGGAACAUCCAAGCAAUAUGAUAUCAGAGACUUGCAAUUUUUAUCACUGAAUGUGGCAAAAAAACCUGA